UCAAGGUAACUGAAUGAUGUUUAGACCCUCUGUGACUCUUGGCUGGAGCAUAUUUAUCAGAAGAAGAUAAAGUUUAGUGAAGGAGGAGCUAAACAAUUGGCUUUGGAUUUCUCAUUUCUGAGAAAAUGGAUUGAUGAUAGUACACAUUUAAGAGAAGAAUCAAAAAGGUACCUACUACUACUGGACUCUAUCCGGCAAUGUGAGGGAGUAGCUCAGCUGCUGCAGAAGAGUAGUGGGAAGGAGGUUCCUGUUAAACCUAAUAAAGGGAAUAAGAUUGCUCCAGAAGAUGAGGUGGUGGAAGACGACUCACCUGUUGCUCAUAUCUUAGAGGUAA